CCAUCCACAUUGAAUUUCAUCCACCCAUUGGCUGGUGGCCACCAAUCCACUCUUAACUUGAUUUUCUAUUCCUUCCCCGAGACUAUGAUUUGAUCCAUACACCUGAUAAUAUUAGUGGUGGAGGCUGGUAAAUCAACCCAUCUGGCUUUCGCCCAAGUGGCUAGCCUAAGCUUUGCAAGAUCCAAAGUUUGUGAGAUAUUCCAUUGCUUGCUUCUGAAAAUUAUCCUGUUUCGUGCCAGC
rnacentral:lncRNA from 1 species